AAGAAAUGUUUCCUGAUGGGUGGAGGUCUCAGGAAGCAGUGGCCAUGGUCCUCCCUCCAGCCAGGCUGACCCCCACCCUGCUCCAGCCAUGCCACUCCAUAUUUGAGGAUGCUCAGAGGGUCCUCCGGAAGGUCUAAUGACAUGAGAAUGUUUAAACCUCUCCUGCAACAGGGACACCACAGAGGAAGUCAGAAUUAAGAAAACAGUGGAUGCAUGGAUCAACGCCCUGAGUAAGGAUAUCCAGAAACCAGCAAGCAUUUGGUUGGAUGACGUAUGGUUGGAUGAUGCCGAUAUUUCAGAAUAAGACUGUUGCUCAGAGGAGAGUUAAAGACUUGGUGAAAGAGUCUGUGUUACCCCAGAAAGACAAACUGAUAACACCACCACCUCCAGGCUUAAAGAUGUGAAGACC
ensembl:lncRNA